UACGAAGGGGGCUAGCGUUGCUCGGAAUCACUGGGCGUAAAGGGCGCGUAGGCGGCGUUUUAAGUCGGGGGUGAAAGCCUGUGGCUCAACCACAGAAUUGCCUUCGAUACUGGGACGCUUGAGUGUGGUAGAGGUUGGUGGAACUGCGAGUGUAGAGGUGAAAUUCGUAGAUAUUCGCAAGAACACCGGUGGCGAAGGCGGCCAACUGGACCAUCACUGACGCUGAGGCGCGAAAGCGUGGGGAGCAAACAGG
rnacentral:rRNA from 1 species